rnacentral:lncRNA from 1 species
AGGCGGCGCGGGUGAGCAGGGUGGCAGCCGAGCCCGGAGGACGCGGCCACCACAGCUGGCGUCCGCCGCUCUGCGCUUCUCCUCGGAGCUUCUCUUGUUCGGCGGGGCCCACCUCACGCCGCCCGGGCCCCGCGGACCUGCAAACCUGGGGCCGCGAGCAGAUCUGCCCUUGGCGCUUUUCUGGGCUUGGCAGAGGGGUUCCGGCCAGAGAUCUCUGGGUUCGCGCUGGCGAUGCGCAGCGAAGAAAGGCGGGGAGCCGCGUCCGGACUGGGUGCUCUCCGAGCGCGAGGAGGCGGGAUGCGCUCGCCGGGGGCGGCGGGGCGCCCUGCACCCGCCCGCGUUGCGCUCCAGCCCCCGGGCCCGGGAAUGCGGCCGUUCGGGCACCCCCGGUAGCGGCGUCCACGCGCUCUCCGAGGGUCCGGAGCGCAGAGGCCGGCUGCCGGCGCUUUGGCCUUGGAUGGAAAAUGCGGAAUGAGAUGGGGGCCUCCGGACCCCCUAACGUGGAUUACUUGGUGCAUGUGAGCGGGACUCAGAAGACCCACGACCUCGUCUCCGUCCGUGGAUCCAUACGUUCUACCCAACAGUCGGGACGCUCACCUGGAGGAUCCAAUUCGGGACUCUGCACGGCAGAAAAUGCUGUUUUGUACAAUGUGGGAGAUGAGAGGGCUUCAGCAGAUUUUCUCUUUAAACCGCUUGAUUUGAGGUAUGAUUGACACACAAAAAGCUCUACUAUUUAAUGUCUACAACUUGAUGAAUUUGAUGAUAAGCCUACGCCAGGACGCCGUCACUACCGUCUAUGCUGUAAACAUAGCAUCACUUCCAAGAGCGUCCUCCCGCCCUCUUCAUUAUUUUUUUGAUUUUUAGCAGAAGAUCGACCCUCUCAGCAAAGGUUUAAGUGUACAGUACGGUGUUGUCAGCUGUAGGCACUGUGCUGUACAGGAGAGCACUGGGCCGUAGUCAUCUCAGCGGACCGUCUUUAUUCUGGAGAAGGUUUAACAUUGCGCAGUCCCGUGCAUCCUCCUCCCCAGGUUACCUCGCCCCUCCUUCUAUUUGUGGCCGGCAGAGUAGACAAGACCCUCCCGGGCCUGGAGGGGAGAGGAACCCUGACCGUGAGUGGGAGAAGCAUCUCCAUGUACCCACCUCCUUCUUCUCCCCAGACCUCCGCUGGGAAUGAGUCGUUUAGCAAAAAUCGGGUUGUAACCUGAUGUGUCCCGACCUGUCUCCUGAGGGGUAGGUGGAUGGAUGACAUCCGGUGUGCGUGAGAGCCAGCCACCAAGCAGCGAAGCCGCCGUGCAGUGCCUGUGCGGUGACUCACGCCUGCCUGAGCAGCAGGUGUGUCGGGGCGCCAAGUGUGCAAAGACUGGGUUUCCUGCUUCUCUGGGCGGAUUUAAGGGGACAUGGGCUUCUGCUCUCCCCUAAGAAGGGAUUUAGGGUGUUGACAAUGUUGGGCUAGGGGGCGACCCCCCUUUUCUUUAGAGGACUGACUUCUCCCCAGAGGAGCGAGGAGAGGUGGCCUGAAGGGCCUUCGGGAGCAGCUGAGGAGGACAGGGGGCUGGCCCCACAUCUGCAUAAGAGGCACUCGUGUGAAGUGGAGGAAACCAGGAAAGAGGCCCUGCUCGGGGACCUACGGCAGAGGCCCUGUUGGUCUAAACCUUCCGCCCGCAAUGCCCACUGACCGCGGGCUGUCCGCUUCCAGCAUCGCCGGUCCCCUCCAGCUCAGAGGGCUUGCCCGCAUAGAGGGGAGGUGACGUUCGUUUGGGAUAAGGAAGUUUUGGGGUUAUUUAAAUCUCAGCAAAACAGACUUCUGUUGUCCAGAUAGAGUUUCUCUGUUCCUGUUAGGGUCUGGUCGCCUGGACUGGAUUUUUCUUUUCCUCUUUGAAACGCUCCCAGCCUUCCUGUUCCAGCUUGUAAACUGAGAGAUGUUGCCCUCUCCCUCGUGCGCGGGCACAGACGGCUUCUGUAAGCAGCCGCUCCGUGAGGAUCAUAACAGGAAGUCUCGGUGGCAGAGGGAUUGGGAUGUUGUGACUGUGCAGCUCUGGGACAGCCCUCUGUCUACACCUGCCCUGUCCCCCUCCUCUGUGACCCCUCGUGGGCCUUCCCUUCUCGGGAGCUGCAGCUCCUCCCAGAUCAGUGGGCGCCCGGCUCAGACUGUGCACUUUGAACUCCGCUGGUCCCCUGGCCUGCAGGUUGUGGUUUGCAUCAGAAUGAAUUGCUUGGAGAACUUGGUAAAAAGGUCUUCUUGGUAGCCCUCCCCACCCUCCCCCACCCCUAGAGGUUCUGUUUUGGUUUGCGUGGGGCUCGGGAGUGCUCAGACAUCUGCAUUCUUAACAAGCUCCCAGACCAUUCCGAUACCGAUGGACGUGUUAAGAAACAGGGAGUUGACUGACUUCUUGGCCAGCUAGAGCCUGAACUGAGCCUUUUCCCACUCAAGCUUACCCAGACACAAAGCUUCUCCAUUUCUCCUCCUCCAGGAAGCCUUCCCGGUUUGCCUCCACCUGGUCUGGGGCUCCCACAUGCCCUUAUUUGGUUGGUUGGUACGGGUUUUGACAUAGAAAUCUUGAAAUCAGGUGCCCUUUGCACUUGGUUAAGACAGAAGGGGCUGCAUUUGGACGCACAUAAAGGAACCACAGUUCUGGGCUUGAGGAAUAAGAUCUGCGGUCUCUCCCUUUGGGUGUGUGAGUGCCCCGGAGCUUGGAAGAUGCCUUUGAUAGGUGGCUUUCUAGCACAUUUGUCUGUGUGCCCACACAGACCACCGCUCUUUCUAUUUCUGGCCAGUGUCGUCCUGGGCCACGUCUGCCAUCGUCGUGGAGCUGGUUGGGGUCCUCCACACCAAGUUAGCAGCCCGUCUGCACACGAUCCAUGCACCCAGUUCAUUUUACAAGAGGAGGGGAAUGGUCCUGGAUGAAUUCCCUCCCUUCGCACUAUGCCUCUGGCUAAAGAUGCUGUGCUCAGACUCACUGGGGCUCCCUGGCUUUACAGACUAGGUUUGUGCCUGGAAAAACGUCUGUGCAGAGCCAGUCUUGGUUGAUCACAUGACACUCGAAAGGCCUGGAGGAAGCAUGCUACCUGGAGGAAUGCUGACGUGGCGAGUUUCUGUCAAAGAAUUCUUUUUGUCAUGUGAAUCAUCACCUCCUCCCGUAUUUGGUUUGUUGGUACAGGUUUUUACAUACAAGUCUUGAACCAGGUGCCUUUUGUAGUUGGUUAAGACAGAAGUGGCUGCAUAAGGCACUGCCUGCCGUUCGGGGGUCUCCAGAAGCAAGUCCGACCUUCGUCUCUCCCCUCAGGUCUGGGAGACCCCCAGGCGUUUGGAAAAUGCCUCUUAUAGGGUCUGAAUUUAAUGGUUUUCAGACCCACUUCCUUUGCCUAAAAGUGGGCCCUUGACCUCACUUCCCUUUAGCCAUUUCCUUCCCUCUCCUUUCCCUGGACUGGGAAGCCCGAGUGGGACAGGACAGAAAGACCCUCUCAGCCCACCCAGCAGGUUCCAUCACAAACUCGUUAGGGAUUUCACUCAGGUCCUGGGAGCCAUCCUUGGAGUUUUCCCUUUUCUUAAUUAUAGACAUUUUUAAAUCAUUUGCUGGAUGGCUCUUUCUUUAGAUGUUGGUCAUCCACUUCAGUUCUUCGGUGCAUGGGUGGGCUCUGGUGGUCUUUGGGCCAGUUGGGAGCUGACUUGACUUAGCAUCCUUUGUGGGGGAGGGGCUCUGUUGUGCUGUAAGCAUGGAAAGGAAGGUGUCUGAGAUGCUUGCCUUUGGGGACAAAUUCUUUGGUAUCUGAGUAAAACCCUCAGGAGCUCUAAGUGACAAUUAUUGUUUCUGCAGUUGUGCUUUUUUUUUUUGCUGAGGAAGAUUGGCUCUGAGCUAACAUCUGUUGCCCAUCCUCCUCUUUUAUUUUUGCUGAGGAAGAUUGUCCCGGAGCUAACAUCUGUGCCAGUCUUCCUCUAUUUUGUAUGUGGGUUGCUGCCACAGCAUGGCUGCCAAUGAAUCAUGUAGGUCCAAGCCCGGGAACCAAACCCCGGCUGCUGAGGCAGAGUGCCCUGAACUUAACCACUUGACAAUGGGGCCAGCCCCAGUUGUACCUUCUUGACUAAUUUUAUUUUAACCUUUUUUUUUUAGUUGUGGUAAAAUGUAUAUAACAUAAAGUUUCCCAUCUUAACCAUUUACCUGUGCAGUAAAUGGCAUUAUGUACAUUCACAUUGUUGUGCAGCCUUACCGCCAUCCAUUGCCAGAACUUUCUCAUCAUCCUGAGCUGAAACUGUGCCCAUUAAACACUGCUUGCCAUUCCCUCUUCCCCAGCCCCCCACAGCCACCACUCUUAUUUUUCUGUCUCUAUUAAUUUGAGCUACUGUAGGUACCUCGUGUAAGUGGAAUCAUACAAUGUUUGUCCUUCUGUGUCUGCCUUACUAUUUUUUAGCACACUGUCUUCAAGGUUCAUCCAUGUUGUAGCUCGUGUCAGAAUUUCCUUCCUUUUUAAGGCUGAGUAAUAUUCCAUCGUGUGGAUAGACCACGUUUUGUUUAUCCAUUCAUCCGUUGAUGGACAGUUGAGUGGCUUCUAUCUUUUGGCCAUUGAGAACAAGGCUGCUAUGAACAAGGCUGCGCACACAUCUGUUCGAGUCCCUGCUUUCAGCUCUUAGUGUACAUACCCCAAAGUGGAGUUACAGGAUCAUACGGUCAUACUUUGAUGUUUGAGGAGCCACCAUACUGUUUUCCACAGCAGCUGCGGCAUUUACAUUCCCACCUGCGAGGUGCAAGGGUUCCAGUUUCUCCACAUCCUUGCCAACACUUUUUUUUGACGGUAGCCAUCCAAGUGGGUGUGAAGUGGCACUUAACUGAUUUUAAGGACAGAUCGGCCAGGAAGGGUAGACCUUCUCGCUGCGGACGCUCAGGAGCCUGUGGUGUCUCCUUUCUUGCUGAGGAGGACUCUUCACUGCGAGCCAAGUGCCAGGGACCGACCGAGGAGCAGCGGGUGCACGUGGGCGGCGCUCCCCUCCGAGGCCGCUGCAUCUCUUCUUUCUAAAGUAACAGUUUGGAGAUCUAGCGUGUUCCUUAGGUCCAGUAUUUGCGCUGGAGCUUUUCGAGUGCUUUGUGCCCAUUUCCCUUCUGAUAUCACCUGCAACCUGGUGAAAUAGUCAGGUGUCACCCCCAUUUUCCAGAAGAGGCUGUCAAGGCACAGGUAAGUGAGGUGACGCAGGUAGAUGCCCACCGAGGAGAAGGGGCCCCUUGCUCCUAACCCCGCCCGCGCGCGCAAAGUCGUAUUUUGGAAACGUGGGUGCAGGGAGGGAUGCUGGGAAGAUGGAGGCUGGGGUCAUGAUUUGAGAGAACUCUAGGGGGCGUCCUCUCUGUCCCCUUAUCCUGCCUGGUCUAAUUUCAUAGAUGAAGUUUGCUGAGUGUGGCUUUUUAUGAAAGACGUUUAAAAAUUGUUUGUUUACCGAACCGUUUUUUGCAGAGUCGAGGGGCUUAAGAAAUGCUUUUGGGAGCCCAGUGGUGAGAUGUCAGAUUUCUGGGGUGGCUCCGGGGAGAGCGCCGCUCAGUGGCUGCAUUGAGAGGAUUACCUCCUUUCUGGGGUUUUCUUCCUGAAGCCCCGGGUGAGCCCCGAAGGCUCGGUCUUUGCUGAUUUGUCACUGGACGACCCAGGCGCAUGUCCAGGCUCAAGGCGGGAUUAGCCGUUGGCAGAAGGUGGUUUUAUUGGCCCUGGGGACCGAUUGUGUCUGCUCCCCAGCUCUGCACUGCCUCGCCUCUCACGGCCUCGGUGUCCUCCCCCAUGUGGCGAAAGGAAAGUGAUCUGUACCCCUGCAGCUACCCUGAGUGUGGCUCUUUUCGUUUUAAUUUUUUUACAUCGUGCUAUUUCUUUUUAUUUUUAAAAUGAAGCAACAAGAAACAAC